GUGGAUAUACAUCUAUGAGAUGACUGUAUAUUCUUGGUAUUCAAUUUUCUUAUUUAAUUAAAUAUAUGCACCAUUUGUACCCUUUUAUAGUUAACCCUCAGAUGUAUAAUGGCUACCCUUCCACAUGCACUGGGAGACAGACAGACCCACCACAACAAGACAGACCCACCACACCCACCCUUUUUGCGAUUCUUCAUGUAAGUUUACUAAUAUUUUUCUUUUUGAUGUAGGUUAACCCAUUGAAACCCAUUGCGCCCUGCUUUAUUAUUUUACUCUCUCUAGCGCCAUAUGAUUUACUUGUCAAGGGGAGAGCUCUGGUGCUUAAUGGGUUAAGCAUUAUUUAUAUUUUUUACUCUGUAAUGCUGUCAUGCAAUGCCAUUGUGAACCAAUUGAAUCAUACUAUACCAUACUAUUAGCAUUAAUGGUACCAAGAUGUGAUGGUCUUAACUCUUUAAUAAUUCAACACACAAGUGGCUGUCGAAACAUUAAAUUAUAACUGUUUGAAGCCACCUGUAAAUGAUUUCUUGAACUAUAACAUGUUCCUAGUUUGUAGCAUUCAGCUUUGUUAUCCAUACAAUUGCCUGUAUACAGUAGUGCUUUAAUUUGCAAAAUU